rnacentral:rRNA from 1 species
AAUCAACGCUGGCGGCGUGCCUCAGACAUGCAAGUCGAACGCGAAAGUCCCCCUUCGGGGGGACAAGUAGAGUGGCGCACGGGUGAGUAACACGUAGGUAAUCUACCUUUGGAUGGGGAAUAACACCGGAACGGUUGCUAAUACCGCAUAAUGCAGCGGCACCUAAUGGUGACAGUUGUUAAAGCGGGGGAUCGAAAGACCUCGCGUCUAAAGAGGAGCCUGCGGCGGAUUAGCUAGUUGGUAAGAAUGGCUUACCAAGGCUACGAUCCGUAACCGGCCUGAGAAGGCGGUCGGUCACGAC